GCCUAAGAUAGCCUGAAGAGGGAGCAUUUUUCAAGUUCCAGAGACACAGAAGUCCAAGAUCAAGGCACCAGAAGAUUGUAUGUGGUGCUGUGACUGGAAGGUACUGAAGGAGCUUUCCUGUAUUCAUGGGUCAGGAAGAAAAGCAUCUGGAUUUCAAAGCUGCUUGUGAU
rnacentral:lncRNA from 1 species